rnacentral:rRNA from 1 species
AGAGUUUGAUCAUGGCUCAGAAUGAACGCUGGCGGCAGGCCUAACACAUGCAAGUCGUACGAGAAAGUUUAGCUUCGGCUGAACGAGUAAAGUGGCGCACGGGUGAGUAACGCGUGGGUAAUCUACCCUCGGGCUGGGGAUAACAUUCCGAAAGGGAUGCUAAUACCGAAUAAUACUUUUUCUUCUGCGGUUGAAAAAGUCAAAGGUGGCCUCUACAUGUAAGCUACCACCUGAGGAUGAGCUCGCGUCCCAUUAGCUUGUUGGUGAGGUAACGGCUCACCAAGGCCGCGAUGGGUAGCUGGUCUGAGAGGAUGAUCAGCCACACUGGGACUGGAACACGGCCCAGACUCCUACGGGAGGCAGCAGUGAGGAAUCUUGCGCAAUGGGGGAAACCCUGACGCAGCCAUGCCGCGUGAGUGAAGAAGGUUUUCGGAUCGUAAAGCUCUGUCAGAAGGGAAGAACCCGGUUAAGACUAAUAAUCUUAUCCGCUGACGGUACCUUCAAAGGAAGCACCGGCUAACUCCGUGCCAGCAGCCGCGGUAAUACGGAGGAUGCAAGCGUUGUUCGGAAUUACUGGGCGUAAAGAGAGCGUAGGCGGCUUAUUAAGUCGGAUGUGAAAU